CCUGAAGGUAGUGUGGUUGCUCCACUGCUGGAGCAUUAUGACUCAUCCGGGCGCCUGAUCAUUGAGCCUGUGGGAUAUAGUUUUUUACCGGGCAAAGCUUCAAGAAUUCUUUCGCGGACGAUACAAGGUUGUUUCACGGACUCGUUGACUUGGGGCAAGAUGGAUCCAGACCUCAAGAGACAGAUCUAUUUAACCUUUAUGAGAAAGUGUUUCUGACUCCCGGAACAUGAAGCUCAUGUCGCCCAAAACUUCCAGAAGAAACGUAAGGGCAACUGCUAAAGGGUGCAUUAGGAAGGGUUUGUGAAGAGCAAGCGAAGCCUGAUUGGAUCCGUCUUGAGGCCUAUAACAAGCUAUUGCAAUAUUGGGCGUCUGAUGAAUUUAAGAAACAAAGUGAAACAGGGAAGAAGGCUAGAAAUUCUACGAAUGGUGGCUCCCUACACAUUAGUGGGCCUAAGAGUCAAGCGACCGUAAGGAAGGAGCUGGAACUCAAAGAAAAGAGGAUAUUGCCUCAAGAUGAGGCAUUCAGAAUCACUCACGUGAAGAAGAAGGAAAACAAUGAAGAACCGGACGGAUGGAUUGAGGAACGGGCUAAGCAGUCCUACAUUCAAUUUCAAUAAUCACGGGCAGAGUUAUGCAGUAGUUUUCCACUUGGCACAGAGCCUACAGAUGAACAAUUGAAUGAAUUGUGGAUUGCGACUGUUGGUGGCCCCACUAGGUUUGGCACAACUUAUGGAAUGGCAAAUAGAGCAUUUCGUAAAUUUCAGUCGCCCUUGCAAGGCAUAGGUUCUUCCAAUGAUGCCGGGUCGUCAGAUAGAGCGAGUGUUAUGGCCAUGGAGCAGAAGAUUGUUAAGCUAUCUAUCCAGUUACAGGCCUCGAAGGCUAGGGAUAGGCGGAGAGACGAGCAGCUACAGGCUGCGGAGGGGAGGGAGAUACGGAGGGACGAGCAAUUUGCGGGUGUGAAAGCUCAAUUAGACUUAUUACUUUCUUCGAGGAGGAUUCCCCCUUGUCCGGAUGACGCUCGUAGCUCCAAGCGUCAACCUCCCCUUUCUCAAUCUAGGUCACGACAUCGGAGGUUGGUCAAGAACACGCACUUGUAGAUGAGCCAAGUAGUGGUGAUGAUGAUGGGGAGCACGUGUCAAACACAGAACGACAUGGUUGAAUUUUAAGUAUCUUACUAACUUAUGAAUUUUUUGGUGGAUUUGUAAAAAUGUAAAAGUGUUUGUUGGAUGUUUGUGAAUAUUGAAGUAGUUUGAUGUUGUAGACUAACUUAAUGUAGACUAGUAUAAUGUUUUGUGGAUGUUUGCAAAGGUUGAAGUAAUUUAUUGUUUUUUGUAAAUGUUGAAUUACAUUUUGAUUCAACUUUGAAGUAGUUUCAAGUUGAAUUUGAUGUAGUGCGGGUUGUAGCAUGUUAUUAUAUGUGCUUGUUGGAUUGUUAGCAGCUAUUUGAGCUGGUUUUAGCUAAAUAUAGAAUUGGUUUUCAUUGCUGACAGGUGGGCAGCUGCAAAAGUAGCAGAAUGCUGCCAAUUUUUC